AAUAGGGCUCCUGGGUUGGAUAGCAUUCCAGCCGAGUUUUACCAACAUUGUUGGGAGAUAGUGAAGAAUGACAUUAUGGGUCUGUUUCAUGCUUUCCAUGAAGGGAGUUUGGAUGUAUAUAGGCUGAACUACGGCAUUAUUACUCUCCCUAAGAUCUCUGGAGCAGAUAAGAUUCAACAAUUCAGACCAAUAUGUCUGUUGAGAUGUCCUAAACUGAUUACAGAAGUUUUAGAUAAUAGAGUGGCCCUUUUUGCUGAUGUUCUUUUUAGCAAACAUCAAAAUGCCUUUAUCAAAAACAGGAAUAUCAUGGAUGGGGUUUUAUCUUUGCACGAAGUUCUUCAUCAUACCUAUGUUAAGAAAAAGUGUGGUAUUGUCAUUAAACUCGACUUCGAGAAAGCGUAUGACAAGGUUAACUGGGACUUCCUGUUGAAGUGCCUUGAUAAUAGAGGUUUUGGGAAAACUUGGUGUGAGUGGAUGUGA
rnacentral:rRNA from 1 species